UCUAAUUUCUCCAUCCACCAUGAGUCACUAGGAUUCAAUGAACUCAGGCUGUGAGACUGGUGGCAAGUGCUAUAUGUGUUGAGUCAUUCUCAUCGUCCACCUCUUUUAAAAUAGAACAUUCUAGCAUAUGUGCUACGUAGAAAAAUCAAGCAUGCAGUGAUGCAGUGAGGCAGAAGCAGUAGCAGAACUAAUGUCUUCCUACUGCUGCAUGCCUUUUGAAGAAGGGCGUGACAGGCUGGGCUCAUACUAUGCAUGUGGACUCGUCCCGUCUUUGUAAGGUGGGAAGGAAAAGUUCCUGUGGACAGAUGUGAUCGCCACAGCCUUGGAUUAAUGAGUGCGAAUGUCUCAUUUCUACUCAAAUGUUCUCUACUGCAGCCUAAAGCUAUUCUACGAUAUUAGUUGGCCUUUCACAAAAAAAGGUUCUUUAAUAAAAUUUGUAGAAAGUUUAAUAUUUGAAUGGCUAUAAUGAUUCUUCAACAAGAGAAAACAGUGCAAAGUUUCUCAAGUUGCUUGUCUGUGGAAUCCCCUUGCUAGGGAACACCUACAUCAAGUUCAUUGCAUGAAACCAGUGUGGAGGGAAGGCACUGCAACCGGGUUCUUGCAUGGUAAUUAUCACGUUGUUGCGUGGUCAUACAGGUUGCAGAACAUUUGAUCUGAACCAGGCGCCUGGAUUCUUUGUCUUGGUCCCAUUUUGUUCUGUUCUACGCUUUCUAUUGUUUCUCAUCAAAUGACUGUGGGCACAUGUGACCAGGGUGGGGGUGGGGCCAGGAUAGUGGGAGCUGUCCUGGAACAAGAGCAGAGAUGGAGGCUUCCUCUCUCCGUGCUCCUUUACGACCCUCUGCCCCCGAGGGCCCCCCCAUACCCCCCAGGUCAGACUUGUAGCCUAUGGCCAAAUUACAGAUUCAACUUCCUCCCUCCAGGAUAAGAAUCAGCCAGGCAGGUUUUUGGAAUUCCUCUUUAUGUAAAUGAAGCAUUCCCUGGCCUCCACCCUAGCCAAUAACACAUACCCACCUUUGAAACCCCUAUCCACUCCCCACAGUCUAUAUAGCCCUUCUUUACCUCAAAUAAAGUUGAUCUGUCUCACUGAAACUGAUUCUGGAAGUCAAUCUGUUGACCCUGUUCCCUCCACACCCACCCCCUGAACCUUGCUCCCCCUGCCCCCCACCCCACCACCUUUGGCUUCCUUGGUCCUUGAGGGUGGUGCCCAACAGCAUCCCCCCCUCCCCGGGGGGUUGAAGGGCCACAGAUGGUUUUUUCUUUAUCACUGAAAUCCUGGAAACAUUUAAAACUUAGCAAAUAGGGGCUGGGAAAGUCUCUCAGUGGUUAAGAGAGUACACUGCUCUUUCAGAGGACCUGAAUUUGUGUCCCAACACUCACAUUUACGUGACUCACAACCACCUUUAAUUCUACCUGUAGGAGGCUCUGUCUCUGGCCUCUGUAGGCACUUGUACUAAUGUAAACACACCUACGCCCCCAAAUAAAAACAAGUCUUCAAAAUUAAGCAAAUGUAUGAUCACUCGUGUGUGUGUGUGUGUGUGUGUAUGUGUGUGUGUGCUCGUUUGUGUGAUCAUGGAAGCCAACGGACAACAUUGGGCACCACUCUUUAGGCGUUGUGCUUUGAGACAGGAUCUCUCAUAGGCCUGAGAUUCACCAAGUAGGCUAGGCUUGUCAGCAUGCCAGGGAUCUACCACAGUUUUUACCUUCUCAGCACUGGGAUUAUAAUCUGUGCCACCGUACUGGGCUUGCUUGUUUUUGUUUGUUUGAUGUGAGUUCUAGAGCUGGAGUCCAGGUCUUUAUACUUGCAAGACAAGCCCUUUGCUGGCUGAGCCCUCUUCUCAGCCCUGAAUACUUACUGCUGGCAGACAGGUCUCGAAUUAUCUCUGAUUCCCUAGUAGUUCUCUGCCAGACAUUAACUGAUUCUGCUCUCUGGAGUGAACUGCAGAACACAUUUGUGCGGCCCUUGUCAGUCCCCGUGACUUGCACUUUUCACCUACACUUAUUUUUUAAUAUUCUAGAGGGCUACAGGAAGUGCAAGUUAGAUUUUAAAUGUUUUGCGGGUAGAUCGCAGUAUACAAACAUUUCCAUAUUUAUGCAUCUAUCAUCAUGCAGUUCACAAUGAAGUCUUUUCGAUAUUCAUGUCUUCCAUUGAUUGGCAGGUAUUUACUAAUAUCAUUAACUACAUUCCUCCAGUGUUUUAAGAAUCAUGGACAAAACAUUUUGGGUCCCAGAAUGGGCUUUAGAUGUGUAAAUCAAUCCCAUGGAUCAUUUUAAAUUACUAAUCAUAAGCAAACAGAUAAGCAAAAAUGACUAUAAAUUGGGUUAAUUACUGUAGCUCAAGUUUUAGCUCAUAAUUUUGACUUUCAAAGGCUACACAAACCAAUUUUGUACUCUUAGAUUAUAAUGAGCAGUCUUUAUUCUUUAAUCAGUUCGCCCCGUAUCUAGCUGUCUAACGUAACACUCCUUUGAAGUCUAGAAAGAUCUAACAUAAUUGAAGAAAUGUCGAACUACUUGACUCUUUUUUUUUUAAUAUAAAGGAAUUAAACAUUAAUCAGGUUUGUGCAUCUCAAUUAAGCCAAUUAAAAUUAUCACAGAACCGAGUGCAUACUGAGAGAGGUAGCUUUAAUGCCUGAAUACAUUACCAACUUUUACAUAGAAUUCCCAUAUCCAUUUAUGCUUGUUACUCAAAAAGUAAAUACAGACCCAGAGUCCACAUUAGGCUGCCUGCCAGUCAACACUAAGCUCUGGAAAAAAAACCC
rnacentral:lncRNA from 1 species